rnacentral:lncRNA from 1 species
GUUGAAACUGUGAUAAUCAGUCCAUUUCUGUCUCUCCCCAUCCAUCUGUCCAGUUUCUCUUUCCAGAAGAUUCCAUGAGACUGAAGAUGGCCACUUGCAGCUCCUGGCUACUACAGCAAUAAAGAAUGAGAAUCCUGGGGGGAAUUCUUGUCUCCAGAGAUCAAGCAAAGCUCCAAGAGAGAGUACAAGAGCGAGCAGGUCA